rnacentral:rRNA from 1 species
UACGAAGGGGGCUAGCGUUGUUCGGAAUUACUGGGCGUAAAGCGCACGUAGGCGGAUACUUAAGUCAGGGGUGAAAUCCCGGGGCUCAACCCCGGAACUGCCUUUGAUACUGGGUAUCUCGAGUCCGGAAGAGGUGAGUGGAAUUCCGAGUGUAGAGGUGAAAUUCGUAGAUAUUCGGAGGAACACCAGUGGCGAAGGCGGCUCACUGGUCCGGUAUUGACGCUGAGGUGCGAAAGCGUGGGGAGCAAACAGG